GCAGGGGUGGCCAAGCCCGGUUUAAGGCAGUCGGCUGCAGACCGACGAUCGUGAGUUCAAAUCUCACCCCCUGCU
rnacentral:tRNA from 1 species